GUUUUGAUAGUUUAAUAAAAAACAAUGAUUUUGUAAAUCAUAAAUAGAUUUUCUUCAAAACU
rnacentral:tRNA from 1 species